AUGAAGCUGGAAUCGCUAGUAAUCGCGGAUCAGAAUGCCGCGGUGAAUACGUUCCCGGGUCUUGUACACACCGCCCGUCACACCAUGGGAGUUGGAAAUGCCCGAAGUCAGUGGCCCAACCGAAAGGAGGGAGCUGCCGAAGGCAGGUCUGAUGACUGGGGUGAAGUCGUAACAAGGUAAC
rnacentral:rRNA from 1 species